rnacentral:rRNA from 1 species
UAAAGGCAUGGUCCUGACCUUAUUGUUAGCUCUAACCCGACUUACACAUGCAAGUCUCCGCAACCCCGUGAGUAUGCCCUUAAUCCCCUGCCCGGGGACGAGGAGCGGGCAUCAGGCACAAAUUUUUAGCCCAAGACGCCUGGCCGAGCCACACCCCCAAGGGAAUUCAGCAGUGAUAAAUAUUAAGC